rnacentral:rRNA from 1 species
AGAGUUUGAUCCUGGCUCAGAGCGAACGCUGGCGGCAGGCCUAACACAUGCAAGUCGAACGGAUCCUUCGGGAUUAGUGGCGGACGGGUGAGUAACACGUGGGAACGUGCCCUUUGGUUCGGAACAACUCAGGGAAACUUGAGCUAAUACCGGAUGUGCCCUUCGGGGGAAAGAUUUAUCGCCAUUGGAGCGGCCCGCGUCUGAUUAGCUAGCUGGUGGGGUAAAGGCCCACCAAGGCGACGAUCAGUAGCUGGUCUGAGAGGAUGAUCAGCCACAUUGGGACUGAGACACGGCCCAAACUCCUACGGGAGGCAGCAGUGGGGAAUCUUGCGCAAUGGGCGAAAGCCUGACGCAGCCAUGCCGCGUGAAUGAUGAAGGUCUUAGGAUUGUAAGAUUCUUUCACCGGGGACGAUAAUGACGGUACCCGGAGAAGAAGCCCCGGCUAACUUCGUGCCAGCAGCCGCGGUAAUACGAAGGGGGCUAGCGUUGCUCGGAAUUAC